rnacentral:rRNA from 1 species
UACGGGGGGGGCAAGCGUUUGUUCGGAAUUACUGGGCGUAAAGGGCUCGUAGGCGGCCAACUAAGUCAGACGUGAAAUCCCCAGGCUCAACCUGGGAACUGCGUCUGAUACUGGAUGGCUUGAAUUCGGGAGAGGGAUGCAGAAUUCCAGGUGUAGCGGUGUAAAUGACGUAGAUAUCAGGAAGAACACCCGUGGCUAAGGCGGCUCUCUAGUACGGUCACUGACGCUGAGACGCGAAAAGCGUGGGGAGCGAACAGG